rnacentral:lncRNA from 1 species
AGACUUUCUCUACUGGGCAGCCGCUGAGCCACUAAAUCUGUGUUGCUGAGUCUGCUGUUUGCAUGCAGGAAUGUGAAGGACUGCUCAAGUUGGAGAUACAAAUUGAAGCCAGCCCCAGUUCAAAACUGUUACAAAUGGAGUCUGUAGGCAUGAGGGGCUGACUAUAUAACUCAGAGUUCUCCAGUACUUUACUUUAAUAAAGAACACAAUCUUUAUUAAAGGAUAAGUAAUAAAAAUGUGUUGAUGUGCAACUUAUGGAUCUAUUAUUAAAACUCAACAGUCAUUGCAGCAAUGUUUAGAACUUAAGCAAACAAAAGUUUUGUGAGGGGGCAAUUUUAUCAAUGACAUUGUUUAGAAAUGUUGGUAGAUGGUGAU